CCAGCCCGCUCAGAAACUCAAAGGCAUUGACGGGGGCCCGCACAAGCGGUGGAGCAUGUGGUUUAAUUCGAUGAUACGCGAGGAACCUUACCUGGGCUCAAAUGUAUGUUGACGUAUUCUGAAAGGGAUACUUCUUCGGACAAUAUACAAGGUGCUGCAUGGUUGUCGUCAGCUCGUGCCGUGAGGUGUCGGGUUAAGUCCCAUAACGAGCGCAACCCCUAUCAUUAGUUGCCAUCAGGUCAAGCUGGGGACUCUAAUGAAACUGCCUACGCAAGUAGUGAGGAAGGUGGGGAUGACGUCAAAUCAGCACGGCCCUUACGUCCAGGGCUACACACGUGCUACAAUGGCCGGCACAACGGGAAGCGAGUUCGCGAGGACGAGCGGAUCCCUCAAAGCCGGUCGCAGUUCGGAUUGAAGUCUGCAACUCGACUUCAUGAAGCUGGAAUCGCUAGUAAUCGCGGAUCAGCCAAGCCGCGGUGAAUACGUUCCCGGGCCUU
rnacentral:rRNA from 1 species